CAUGGCUGCCAUGUUUGAAACAGUUUAACGAUUAUAUUGUUGAAUAACUUCUUCCUGUAUCUCACAGCGGCAUAUAUGUGAUUUAUUAAUAUUUAUUACAUCUCUGUAGUAGUGGACGGUCAAAAUUUUAAAGACACUGUACAUUACGCUAGCGCUUAUAUCACUGUUGACGUCUUAAUAAAACUUCCGUGGUGGCAGUUCGCUUUUCCGGUUGAUUCCGUAAAUGGAUGUUGUUCUGAGACUGGGCGUGUACGAUACAGUUUCUUUAGCGCAGGUGAACGAGUAAACCCGCAGCGAUGGAGGACAUCUUUCAUUGGUGUCGUGAAGGGAACGCGUUCCAAGUGCGUGUAUGGCUUGACGACACCGAACAUGACAUGAAUCAGGGGGAUGAUCAUGGGUUCAGUCCACUUCACUGGGCUGCCAAGGAGGGCCACGCAAACAUUGUGGAUAUGCUUAUCGCACGGGGCUCACGAGUCAAUGCCACCAACAUGGGAGACGAUACAGCACUUCACCUGGCAGCUGCUCACGGACAUCGUGACAUUGUGCAUAUGCUUCUCAAACGCAAAAUGGAUGUGAACGCCAUCAACGAGCAUGGAAACACGCCACUUCAUUACGCUUGCUUCUGGGGUUACCAAGCAAUAGCAGAGGACCUGAUUGCCAGUGGUGCCUUGGUGUCCAUCGCAAACAAGUAUGGUGAAACACCACUCGAUAAGUGUAAAGGUCACAUGGGGAUUCGCCUGAGAGAAGUGGCUGAACAAGCAGGCCAGGAUUUGAAGAAAAUUUACUACAAAGAUCAAAAUUGGCUUGGCACGAAAACAAGGACAAGGGAUGCCACUCUUUCGAGGCACUCGGGUAUCAACAUGGAUGAGCUCAAGUUCUUCCAACAGAUUGCAUCGACCUCAUCUGGAGAGACUUGGAAGGGCUCAUGGCAAGGGAAUGACAUCAUAGCCAAGAUCCUCAAGGUGGGCGAAGUGACGCCACGCAUCUCCCGAGACUUCAACGACCAGUACCCGCGCCUGCGCAUCUUCUCGCACCCAAAUGUCCUUCCGGUCAUCGGCUGCGUCAACCGUCCUCCGCACUUGAUCGUUGUGCAGCAGUACCUGCCACACGGCUCUCUCUUUGACAUCCUGCAUGGAUCGACAGGUAUGGUGGUGGACCAGGCGCAGGCACUCAAGUUUGCCAUUGACGUUGCUCGCGGCAUGGCCUUCCUCCACACCCUCGAGCCCAUGAUUCCCAACUAUCAAUUGAGCAGCAAGCAUGUCAUGGUGGAUGAGGAAAUGACUGCUUAUGUGAACAUGGCCGACGCCAAGUUUUCCUUCCAAGAGCGGGGAAAGAUGUAUAAUCCUGCUUGGUAUUCGCCUGAAGCCUUGCAGAAGAAACAGGACGAGAUGAACUGGAAGGCAGCUGACAUGUGGAGCUUCGCCAUAUUGCUGUGGGAGUUGGCGACUCGCCAGGUUCCUUUUGCAGACCUUUCUCCAAUGGAAAUUGGCAUGAAGGUCGCCCUAGAGGAGCUGCGAGUGACCAUUCCGCCGGGGAUUUCACCGCACAUGAGCCGGUUGAUUCGCAUCUGCAUGAACGAAGACCCGGGCAAGAGGCCUACCUUUGAGAUGAUACUUCCCAUCUUGGAAAAAAUGAAGCACUGAGCACAUUGUGUGACCAUUCGUAAUGAGCGUUUAGACAUGGAUUACCAGCCCCGUGAAAGGCUGAAAUGACCCGAAUCCGAAUUCUACAUCUCUCUUAAGCCGUGAUGUCAUGUCCAGAACUGCAUCACACUGAGGAAGGAAGGAAUGUUGGUGCACCCUGCAUUGUGGCUAUGUUAUGAGCUAGCUCACAAAUUGAUUUUAGAUAUCUCUAAGCCAUUAUAUAAAUGCCUUUAAUUAUUAGAAGCAGCCACUAGAUGUUUACAGCUUUCUGCAAAGACUUGUACUGUUCGAAUAAUGAUGCAAAUUACAAUGCUCUUACAUUUAUUGCUUAUGGUUGUACCAACAAUUAAGGGAAACGGUGCAAGAACGAGACACUGCAGCACAGGGUGAUUGAUGACCUGCAGAUGAACAUCUAUGAUAGCCGAUGCCCCGUGCUUUGCCCUCCUUCCAUUUUCAUGCUAUUUUUUUCAUAGUAAUGUUAACAAACUCGCCCACAUUGUUAAUUCUGAAGAAUUGCGCAAACUACAGUGUAAUUUGCACAACUUUUGCAAAGAAUGUCCCAGCCUUAAAUGUUUGCUGUGUUAAAGUUUGUCUUGCGCAUAAAACGCAGCUUGAUGCACGUAAGGCACAGUUCGGUGAGUGCCUUUACUGCCUUAUGUUUGUCUUCGUCUCUGUCUGUAUAGUUUUUGUUGCCUAUAUGAUGCAGAACAGUUUAUAAACUGCAAAUUCAGCCACAUGUUAUCCAAGACACAGGAACUCUAGAGGUCACCUAACCAUUGUGCCUACUGAAGGCACAUCUGUGCUCAGCGACACAUAUAUUCCACAGCACCAUUCACUGUGUACUUGUGUUGUAGUGUUCGUUAUCUUAUGUGGGAGGUGGUGUCCACAAGGGCUAUUUGUAACCAUACUGGCCACAAUUCAUCGAGGCUUGUGGAAGUCAAAGUUACGUGCACCAUACGGUUUGCUUUAAGCAGGGGGAAAAAACACCUCAUUUUUGUUGUACAAUAUUAAUUUUAAAUGCUCCUACUUUUGAGCAAAGACACAAUGAUAAUGGUGCCAAAGAUUGCGACGCUUGUCUGAAGACUCGUAUCACACCUUUUCCUGCAUAACUAUCUUACUAAGGCAAAAGCCUUAGAUAGCCAAUUAUACGUGAAAAGUGACUGUCGGAGACGUCAACGCAAGUGAUGCCAAAAAAUCAUCAUCACGUGGUGACAUCAUCCUAUGACGUCACAGGUCACCAAAAUUUGUGACAUCGCAUCACAUGACGUCACAUGAUGGCGUCAUAACAUUACAUCGUUGCUUUCGCUGUUAUGUAAAUUGCCAGUUUUCUCAGUGAAAAUUAAACCUUUAUCUGGGGAUCUUUGUGCCAGAGCGACUCGCCAUUGUAGCUUAGCGGCUGCAGUGUUGCACGGCUAAGCACCAGGAUGCAGGUUCAAUUUCCAGCUACAGCAGUGGCAUGUCUGGUGCGAGAUGCAAACACACCCUUUACUUGUAUUUAGGUGCAUGGUAAAAAAUUACAGAAUAAUGAUACUGUGCUAUUAGCACAUAAGACCGCAGAAUUUAAUCAUUUCUGCCAGAACUGGAACACACUGAUUUCCUUCCAGAUUUUUUUGCAAUGCAUUCACUCAACUUUCACAUAACUUUUUUCUAGAAACGUUCACAGAUUCUGGAUAAGUUAUUCUGGGUCAUGACUUUGUAACGAUGCCUUGUCCACUGCCAUUCCUUUUCAUACUUCGUCAGUGGUCCGAGUGAUGCCAUUGGCCACAUCAUCAAUGGAUGAUGUGGCCCUCAUUAGUGCUAGAUAAUUAUAGCAAAGAAAUGAGCUGAAUUGCAGUGCUACAAAUUUAUGGCCCUUAUCUUUUAUGUUUCCCAGAGAGGGCAAUAUUCUCGGUAAACCAUUACAGAUCAGAGAUUAUUGUAGGGACUCUUCAUGGUAACAUCGUGAGGAAAUGAGAGACAUUUGAAAAAUUUGUGUGCAGUGUUGUUUGUGUUCAAGCCUAGCAAUUCGAAAAUUUUUGUGACUGUUGAAGCGUGCUGUUGGGCAUACAUUGCAAUCAACAAAGCCUACCAAUGUCCUUUGUGACUUUUUGCUUUUUAUGUGGUAACAUGUGUAAAAAUGUGCUAAAUGUACUCUUUAUAUUGACACAGGCAUUAGCAAUAUUUAUAGCGAUGUAUGAUUUAUUUGUUUGACAGUGUCUAGACAAGUCAUCAUUCAUGUUUUAAACUGCUAGAAGUUUUACUUUUGUGUCUGUGCUUAUGGGCUCUUAUCAUGUGUAUUUUAGUUAGUAGCAGACACUGAAAACAUGGCGUCUCUGAUUCAAAUGACGAAAGAGGCUUUAAAUCGUAGUGUUAACACUUAUAUGACAUAUGUAUAUUUCCGUCACCUAAGUUGUUACAAGGUUACGGAACCUGAUGCAUUUAUUGUAUAAAGAAGGUGCACUGCCAAAACAUUACCUGUGCAUUUGUUAUGCAAAUAAAUUGUUGCUAUUAGUAC
rnacentral:misc_RNA from 1 species